rnacentral:tRNA from 1 species
ACUAAUUUGGCAGAUUUAAGUGUAUUAAAUUUAGAAUUUAAUUUAUAUUGUGUUUUACAAUAAUUAGUA